CCUACGGGAGGCAGCAGUAAGGAAUAUUGGACAAUGGACGCAAGUCUGAUCCAGCCAUGCCGCGUGAAGGAUUAAGGCCCUCUGGGUUGUAAACUUCUUUUAUAGGGGACGAAAAAGGGAUUUUCUAAUCCAACUGACGGUACCCUAUGAAUAAGCACCGGCUAACUCCGUGCCAGCAGCCGCGGUAAUACGGAGGGUGCAAGCGUUAUCCGGAUUCACUGGGUUUAAAGGGUGCGUAGGCGGGCAAUUAAGUCAGUGGUGAAAUCUUGGGGCUCAACCCCGAAACUGCCAUUGAUACUAUUUGUCUUGAAUACUGUGGAGGUUAGCGGAAUAUGUCAUGUAGCGGUGAAAUGCUUAGAUAUGACAUAGAACACCGAUUGCGAAGGCAGCUGGCUACACAAGCAUUGACGCUGAGGCACGAAAGCGUGGGGAUCAAACAGGAUUAGAUACCCUGGUAGUCCCACGACCUAACCUACUAGAUACUACGACAUUGUCGAUACACAGUAAGUAGUCUG
rnacentral:rRNA from 1 species